rnacentral:tRNA from 1 species
GAAAAAGUCCGGGACAGAGAAAGACUUCUAAUCUUUUUUCUGAAAAGUUCAACUCUUUUCUUUAUCU